rnacentral:piRNA from 2 species
UGACUGUCCUGGUUGCCACGAAAGAGC